rnacentral:rRNA from 1 species
AUUGAACGCUGGCGGCAGGCCUAACACAUGCAAGUCGAGCGGAUGAAGGGAGCUUGCUCCUGGAUUCAGCGGCGGACGGGUGAGUAAUGCCUAGGAAUCUGCCUGGUAGUGGGGGAUAACGUCCGGAAACGGGCGCUAAUACCGCAUACGUCCUGAGGGAGAAAGUGGGGGAUCUUCGGACCUCACGCUAUCAGAUGAGCCUAGGUCGGAUUAGCUAGUUGGUGAGGUAAAGGCCUACCAAGGCGACGAUCCGUAACUGGUCUGAGAGGAUGAUCAGUCACACUGGAACUGAGACACGGUCCAGACUCCUACGGGAGGCAGCAGUGGGGAAUAUUGGACAAUGGGCGAAAGCCUGAUCCAGCCAUGCCGCGUGUGUGAAGAAGGUCCUCGGAUUGUAAAGCACUUUAAGUUGGGAGGAAGGGCAGUAAGUUAAUACCUUGCUGUUUUGACGUUACCAACAGAAUAAGCACCGGCUAACUUCGUG